UGAUAGGAUGAGAGAAGAAAAGUUGAGGAAAAGAUGGUUGUUAGCCAAGUGACAUAGUUUGAGUGUCAUGGUAGCCAAAGUAAGUGCCUUGAAAAAAGAAUCCCAGGGCAGCCUUGUGAGAUCUUGGUCGACAUUUGAGACAGAAGGUUAAUCCUAGGAAAAAACUUAGUUUUGUCCGGUCGAAAAGAAAGACAAAAUGCCCUUUACGUAAGGAUUUCUGGCAGUCGUGUUCUUGGGCGAGAUUGAAGAUAGAAGACAAAAGUGUAAUCUUGGAGGCCAAUUCGUUUGUGAUCCCAGACAAGAUUGAAGACUGAAGUUCGAUCUUGUGAACAUCUCGGUGCUUGUUCGAUUGAGAUGAAGGACAUCAAGGUUUUGGAGUUGGGUCUUGGGCAGUUU
rnacentral:lncRNA from 1 species